GACAGAGGGUGCAAACGUUGUUCGGAAUUACUGGGCGUAAAGCGAGUGUAGGCGGUCUGAAAAGUCGGAUGUGAAAGCCCCGGGCUCAACCCGGGAAGUGCAUUCGAAACUGCCAGGCUAGAGUGUCGGAGAGGUUGGUGGAAUUCUCGGUGUAGAGGUGAAAUUCGUAGAUAUCGAGAGGAACACCGGUGGCGAAGGCGGCCAACUGGACGAACACUGACGC
rnacentral:rRNA from 1 species